AGCGAACGCUGGCGGCAGGCCUAACACAUGCAAGUCGAACGAACUCUUCGGAGUCAGUGGCGGACGGGUGAGUAAAACGUGGGAACGUGCCUUUAGGUUCGGAAUAACUCAGGGAAACUUGUGCUAAUACCGGAUGUGCCCCUCGGGGGAAAGAUCUAGCGCCCUUAGAGCGGCCUGCGUCUGAUUAGCGAGUUGGUGAGGUGAACGCUCACCAAGGUGAUGAUCAGCAGCUGGACUGUGAGGAUGAUCAGCCACAUUGGGACUGGGACCAGACCCCAACACAUACGGGAUGUAGCGGUGAGGAAUCGUGAGGUAGAGGCAAAAGGCAGACGCGCCCGCACCGGGUGGAUGAUGAAAGGCUUAGGAAUCGAUAAUGCUUUGAACGGGGAUAGUAGUGACGGUAGCCGGAAAAGAAGCCCCGGCUAACUACGUG
rnacentral:rRNA from 1 species